GACGAACGCUGGCGGCGUGCUUAACACAUGCAAGUCGAGCGGUAGCGCGGGAGCAAUCCUGGCGGCGAGCGGCGGACGGGUGAGUAACGCUUGGGAAUCUGCCUGUUAGUGGGGGACAACCCGGGGAAACUCGGGCUAAUACCGCAUACGCACUACGGUGGAAAGCCGGGGACCGCAAGGCCUGGCGCUAACAGAUGAGCCCAAGUCGGAUUAGCUAGUUGGUAGGGUAACGGCCUACCAAGGCGACGAUCCGUAACUGGUCUGAGAGGACGACCAGUCACACCGGAACUGAGACACGGUCCGGACUCCUACGGGAGGCAGCAGUGGGAAUUUUGGACAAUGGGGGCAACCCUGAUCCAGCCAUGCCGCGUGCGGGAAGAAGG
rnacentral:rRNA from 1 species